AGUGAACGCUGGCGGUAGGCCUAACACAUGCAAGUCGAACGGCAGCACAGUAAGAGCUUGCUCUUACGGGUGGCGAGUGGCGGACGGGUGAGGAAUACAUCGGAAUCUACUUUUUCGUGGGGGAUAACGUAGGGAAACUUACGCUAAUACCGCAUACGACCUACGGGUGAAAGCAGGGGAUCUUCGGACCUUGCGCGAUUGAAUGAGCCGAUGUCGGAUUAGCUAGUUGGUGGGGUAAAGGCCCACCAAGGCGACGAUCAGUAGCUGGUCUGAGAGGAUGAUCAGCCACACUGGAACUGAGACACGGUCCAGGCUCCUACGGGAGGCAGCAGUGGGGAAUAUUGGACAAUGGGCGCAAGCCUGAUCCAGCCAUACCGCGUGGGUGAAGAAGGCCUUCGGGUUGUAAAGCCCUUUUGUUGGGAAAGAAAAGCAGCAGGUUAAUACCCCGCUGUUCUGACGGUACCCAAAGAAUAAGCACCGGCUAACUUCGUG
rnacentral:rRNA from 1 species